rnacentral:lncRNA from 1 species
UUUUUUUAAAGUUUUAGUUUCAUUUGUAAACCUGGGAAUGUUUGCUGUUGAUGUCAUGGUAACGAGUGACCGUUCAACAUUUUACUGGCGUCUUUCAGACAAACAACAACACACUGUAAGACACAAAUAAGUGAACAAGGAGUGAACAACAUCAGGGAGAAAAAAAGAUGACAGCAGUGGAGAUGGAGCAAGAGCAGAUGAGGGUGCUGCUUAAAGACAACAAUGCUGAGCUGAUGGAGGAAGUCCUUUCUUUAAGGAAGGCUCUUCAAAAGCAGAAGGAGAAGACCCAAAAAGUCAACCUGGAGCUCCAGCUCACUGACCUCAACAUCAACACAAACAUUAAUGAGAUGAAGAUGGAUUGGGGGGAUAUGAUGGAUCAGGAUGAUAAGGACAAUGAAAUCCUGACUUUAAAAAAGGCAAAUGAAGCCCUUAGUGAGAAGAACUUUCUACUGGAGAAGACAUUGACUGAGAAACAGGAGGAGCUGAUCAACAUGAAGGAAAAGCUCCCAGAGUACCAUGAGAGCAAACUCUCAUCAGAGAUACAAACUCUGAAAUCUGCCCUGCACGUCCAGCACACAGAAGCUGCUGAAGCUUCAAAACAGCUUCAGGACCAGGACAUGAUGAUUGAGAAGUUGAAAACUAUUGCUCAGAUAAAGAUGGCAGAAUCUAAUGCACACUGGAGCAGAAGGAUGGAGGUUCUAAAGCAGCAGGUGCAGGAUUCAGAGAAGAACAAUGUCUGUAUGGACUCCCAGGCUCAGAUAAACUACCUCCAGACACAAAUCACCUCCCUGGAAGAUCUUCUACAGAGCCAAAGCAAGCAUGUUGGGCUUUUACAAAGGCAGCUGCUGGACGAAAGACAACAUUUAGCAAGAACUUUUGAGUCCCACAACAAGGCCAUGUAUGACUCCCAUGCACAAUGGGAUGAGCGGUGGUCCACCAGGGAGGAGGAGAUGCUGACUUCUAUGUCCAUCCUUCAGAGCCAGCAUGAACAGAGGAUGAAUGGACUGACUAACAGGAAUGCUGAGAAUCUGACAAAGAUUUCCCAUUUGGAAAGUCAGCUCAUGGAGUCUCAGGCAGAGUGGAGUGACAGGUACAAAACCCUGCAGGAGAAACACCUGUCAACGAGCAAAGCAAAGGAGGAGAGGAUGCAACACCAAAUGGAGGCCCUGAUGAGAAAGAACAUUGAACUCCAGGAGCUGGCCUUGAAAACAGGUGAAGAAAAGGCCACCGUGAGGAAGGAGCAGAAAAAGAGAGAGAAGGAGGACGCCAAGAGGAGGCAAAGGGAGCUGAAAGAGCGAGAAACGCUGGAGAAAACCAAACUGAAGGACGUGAAGAAAGAAGAGAAAGAAAAGACUGGGGAGGGAAAACACCAACGGUCUUUCUUUUGGCAAAAACUGCUGAGAAAACCACAUCGCAAUUUUUUUCCCCCUGC